rnacentral:rRNA from 1 species
ACGUGGGUGACAUACCUUCAGAUGGGAUAGCUAUUAGAAAUAGUAGAUAAUACCGAAUACGAGCACAGGGGUUAGAGAUCUGUGAGGAAAGGAGCUAAGGCUCCGCUGAAGGAAGUGGCCUGCGGCCCAUUAGCUAGUUGGUGAGGUAAGAGCCCACCAAGGCGAUGAUGGGUAUCCGGCCUUUAGAGGGUGAACGGACACAUUGGGACUGAGAUACGGCCCAGACUCCUACGGGAGGCAGCAGCUAAGAAUAUUCCGCAAUGGACGAAAGUCUGACGGAGCGACGCCGCGUGGAAUGAAGAAGGCCGGAAGGUUGUAAAAAUCCUUUUGAAACUGAAGAAUAAGCGUUGUAGGGAAUGACAGCGUGGUGACAGUAGGUUUUGAAUAAGCAACGGCUAAUUACGUGCCAGCAGCCGC